AUGGCCGCCUCCGUCAGCAAGCGGCUCUCCCUCGUCGAGCAGAAGAGGAUCCAGUGGGCCAAGGAGAGGGAGGAGCUGGCGGGUCUAUGCGCGCCCUGGGGACUGCCCGCUAAGGACACCGCGGAGAUCUUCCGCUCUUCCAUCAGGACGCACUUCGCGAGUGCCGCGGCAGCUGCCGACCACCUAAAGGCCAGACGACAGCAGCAGGAGGAGCAGCUGGAGC